GAGUUUAGAAUCUCCACCACCUUCUGACGGUUCACAGCCCAAGAAGAGCUGUGCUUGGGUAACAGCAAAUACCGGUGCGUUCUUGGUUCUUUGAUUUUAGAGUUAUUCAUUGUCAACAUGUGGGUAUUUACAUAAUUAAAGAAGCUCAUAUUAGUGUUAUGAGUUUGUCUUUGAAAACAAUUUAAAAUACUUAAUAGGAGUAUGAUUGAAGAUGAUCGAUCUUGUUAAUGUGAAUAGGACUUCAAUGUUUUGCUUGGAAGAACGGUUAUGCUUGCCUCUUAUGUUCCACAAUCCUGAAAAGGUAAAGGUGGAUCUGGUUAGAAGGAUAAUGUUAUUGAGUCACUAGCAGAUCUUUGCUAGAACUAAUUUGGUUGUUUUAUUUGGAAUGGUUUGUUUCUUCAUCAAACGUUAAUCAACCUGUCUAGGUUUUUGUCAUACAUGCUAAUUCACCCAAAGCGAAAAUGAUUUUAAGUGUUGAAGGCGUUAGGCCAAUAGAAAAAGCCAGCUAAAUUGUUUCUUUAGCAGUUUGAUUUUAACAGAGUUAAGACACAGCGUGACCUAAGGCAGGUCUUUUUUAACUUGCUAUAAUUUAUUGAAGUAUACAUAUUUAGUACAUUGUUACAUUUAUGAAUGUGAUCAUAUGAAGGAAGGUGAGGCAGUUAGAGGGAUACAAUGGUUCAUAAUGGAGAUUACAGCUGUGUUUUUAUGCUGUUUAACAAUAUAUUUGGUUUGUCUUUCCAAAGUUAUUCCUAAUUUUGUUGACCUGGUGACUGCUAUAAUUUUGAAGAACUCAGCUAAACCACCAAAAUUGGGUUAAGUUAAUUGUCCUGUUUUUCUAA
rnacentral:misc_RNA from 1 species